GCCAGACUCCUACGGGAGGCAGCAGUGGGGAAUAUUGCACAAUGGGGGGAACCCUGAUGCAGCGACGCCGCGUGGGCGAGGAAGUAUUUCGGUAUGUAAAGCCCUAUCGGCAGGGAAGAAGAAAUGACGGUACCUGAAUAAGAAGCACCGGCUAAAUACGUGCCAGCAGCCGCGGUAAUACGUAUGGUGCAAGCGUUAUCCGGAUUUACUGGGCGUAAAGGGAGCGCAGGCGGCGCGCCAAGUCUGAUGUGAAACCCCGGGGCUCAACCCCGGGCAUGCAUUGGAAACUGUUAAGCUGGAGUACUGGAGAGGCAAGCGGAAUUCCUAGUGUAGCGGUGAAAUGCGUAGAUAUUAGGAGGAACACCAGUGGCGAAGGCGGCUUGCUGGACUGUAACUGACGUUGAGGCUCGAAAGCGUGGGGAGCAAACAGGAUUAGAUACCCGAGUA
rnacentral:rRNA from 1 species